UUUCAAUCUUUAUCUCUUUCUCUAAAUUUUAAUUAUUAUUAUGUAUUUGAUCAACAUCACAAUUAUUAACAAAUUAUAGAUAGACUCAAAUUCUUAGAUAAAUCCUAUCAAAGGUAGAAUUCUUUCUCAAAUUGACAAUCUUAUAUUUCAUCUAUAAAAAGAACCGGUUCUCCUUUCUUUCUCCUAUUCUGCUUUCUUUCUCCACUGAUCGGUUCUGCUUUGUUUCUCCUGUUCUGCUUUCGGUAAGUUGAAGUUUAUGCUUUGUUUCUCCUGUUCUGCUUUCGGUAAGUUGAAGUUUAUGCUCCCUUAUUUAUUUAGCCCGUCGAAAUUCGUUGAUGUAUUUAUAAAGUGCGUAGAAUUGUGUGAAUCUGAUUUUAAUGGAAACAAGUAUAUUUUGUUGAUUUCUGGAGGCAGCAAAAUCUAUUGUCCUUACUAAUAUAGAUUAUCUAUUUAUUAGUCUACGUAAUGACAAUAUUUUCCUCUUUCUGAAUUAAUAUUUUGUGGAUCAGUGUGUGUUUUUGUUGCCAUUUUUUAUGUAUCAUAAUUUGUUGUUUCUCGUGUUCUGAUGAGUAGAGAUGUUGGAUUUGGCAAUUGCUUAAGAGGGGAUGGGGAUUUUCUUUUCCCAUAUAAGCAUAUGUUGAGAGGACAGCUCCGGCUAUCUACUUUACUGAUCAGACCAUUAUGAAUUGAUAAUCUGCAGAAACUAUUAUUAGAAUAUGUGGUUUGAUGAUUUAGAGGAGUCGAGCUUGAACUGUGAAAACUUUUAGUUGGUGGAUUUUAUAUACUCAUAUUUGUUGGAUUAAAUUAAAAAAGUUCACACAACGCCAAAAACUAUUUAUGCUAGCUUCUUUCUGCUCACCUUUUAUAUGCUUGCCUUAUUUGUGGGUGUGAAAUCAUCUGCUGUCUUCAGUAAAAACAUGCAAAUAUUACAUUGUAUAAUUACAGCAUUAAGUGACAUUUAUGUCUGUCUUUUUCCUUUGCAAAAUAAUUUUCUGCAUAAUAUUUGAUAAUUUAUUUACUUACUCUAAAUAUAGGAAAUGUCAACGAAUAAUGAAGCUAUUCCUUUGAAUGCCAUCAAGGAAAAAAUACGAAAUAAAUACGUGGUUGUCAGACUUUUACGCUUAUGGGUUCAAAAAGAUAAAUUGGGCAAGGAAGGACUUGAAAUGAUCGUGAUUGAUGAAUGGGUAAGUCUUAUCACAAUUUUAUUUAAUAAAUAGUUUUGUAAAAUUAUUCAUUUUCAAUUUAUGCUAUCUAAUAACAUAUUUUUAUUAUGUAGGGCAACAAAAUUCAAGCAUCCGUCUCAACAGGGAACAAGAAUAAGUUUCAUGAGUUACUUAAAGAGGGACAAAUAACAGUUAUUAAAAACUUCCAAGUAGUGAAAAACAAUCCUAACUUUCAGCAUGCAAAAAUCAAUCAUGAGUGGAAAAUCAGUUUUACCUUUAGAACCAUUGUUUCUGAAUCAACUGAACGCCCGAAUAUUACUGAAAAUGGAUUUGAUUUCAUCCAUUUUCAAAAUAUUCAUUCACAUGAUCAAGAAUUGGUAUUGGGUAAGUAUAACAUAUUAUAGAAAAAAAAUAUUUUAUUAUAUAAUUUCCUAAUAUUAGUUUUGAUUGUGUAUUGUAGAUAUUCUUGGGGAGAUAAAAACUGAAAAUAUUACCAUAGAUUGUGUUGAAAUGAAGCAUGGCAAAGCUAAGAAGUGUGACAUAACAUUGGCUGAUGCAGAGUAAGUUUCUAAAUCUUUCAUUUAAUAAUGAUUAGUAUUUCAAAUUUUAUUUUAAAUUAUUGUUUUAAUUAUAUAUGUAACAGUGGCACACAAGUAAUUUGCGUAUUGUGGGAAUCAUAUGCCGAUGAACUCAAAAUAUUCAUGGAAAGCAGAUCAAGCGAGGAUAAAGAACCAGUAAUGAUAGCUUUACAAUUUGCUAUGUUAUCAACAUUCAGAGGUAGUUAUUAAUCAUUUACAAUACUCAUUUAUUAAAAUAUAACUAAAUAAACUUUAAGCAGCGUUACUAAUAAUUUAAAUGUUAUUUUAGGUGUAACCAAAGUUUCCACAAUGAAGCACGCAACCAGAUUUUUUAUCAGCCCUGAUAUACAAGAAG
rnacentral:lncRNA from 1 species